rnacentral:rRNA from 1 species
GGGAGGCAGCAGUAGGGAAUCUUCCACAAUGGGCGAAAGCCUGAUGGAGCAACGCCGCGUGGGUGAAGAAGGUCUUCGGAUCGUAAAACCCUGUUGUUAGAGAAGAAAGUGCGUGAGAGUAACUGUUCACGCUUCGACGGUAUCUAACCAGAAAGCCACGGCUAACUACGUGCCAGCAGCCGCGGUAAUACGUAGGUGGCAAGCGUUAUCCGGAUUUAUUGGGCGUAAAGGGAACGCAGGCGGUCUUUUAAGUCUGAUGUGAAAGCCUUCGGCUUAACCGAAGUAGUGCAUUGGAAACUGGGAGACUUGAGUGCAGAAGAGGAGAGUGGAACUCCAUGUGUAGCGGUGAAAUGCGUAGAUAUAUGGAAGAACACCAGUGGCGAAAGCGGCUCUCUGGUCUGUAACUGACGCUGANGUUCGAAAGCGUGGGUAGCAAACAGGAUUAGAUACCCUGGUAGUCCACGCCGUAAACGAUGAAUGCUAAGUGUUGGAGGGUUUCCGCCCUUCAGUGCUGCAGCUAACGCAAUA